rnacentral:rRNA from 1 species
UACGUAAAAGACUAGUGUUAUUCAUCUUUAUUAGGUUUAAAGGGUACCUAGACAGCAUUAUUAGCCCAAAUCAGGGUACGGUAUUGCUAGAGUUUUAUAUGAGAAGGGGAGUAUUCAUGAAGUAGAGAUGAAAUUUUUUGAUAUCAUGACGACUGAUAAAGGCGAAAGCAACCUUUUAUCUAUUAACUGACGUUGAGGAACGAAGGCUUGGGUAGCAAACAGG